AUUGAACGCUGGCGGCAGGCCUAACACAUGCAAGUCGACGAGUGGCGGACGGGGGAGUAAUGCUUGGGACUCUUGCUUAUGGUGGCGGAUAACUACGGGAAACUGUAGCUAAUACCUCGUACCAUAGGUUUCGCCUAAUGGGGAUUAGGUAGUUGGUGAGGUAAAGGCUCACCAAGCCGACGAUCUCUCGCUGGACUGAGAGUACGACCAGCCACACUGGGACUGAGACACGGCCCAGACUCCUACGGGAGGCAGCAGUGGGGAAUAUUGCGCAAUGGGGGCAACCUGACGCAGCCAUGCCGGGUGAAUGAAGAAGGCCUUCGGGUUGUAAAGUUCUUUCGGUAGCGAGGCGUUAACUACAGAAGAAGCACCGGCUAACUCCGUGCCAGCAGCCGCGGUAAUAC
rnacentral:rRNA from 1 species